rnacentral:rRNA from 1 species
UACGGAGGAUCCGAGCGUUAUCCGGAUUUAUUGGGUUUAAAGGGAGCGUAGGUGGAUUGUUAAGUCAGUUGUGAAAGUUUGCGGCUCAACCGUAAAAUUGCAGUUGAAACUGGCAGUCUUGAGUACAGUAGAGGUGGGCGGAAUUCGUGGUGUAGCGGUGAAAUGCUUAGAUAUCACGAAGAACUCCGAUUGCGAAGGCAGCUCACUGGACUGCAACUGGCACUGAGGCUCGAAAGUGUGGGUAUCAAACAGG